CCUUAGUAACGGCCGGAAGCGGCAACAGAAAUUUGAAAUCUGGCCUCCGGGGUCCGAGUUGUAAUUUGUAGAGAGUGUGGGGGAGACCGCGGUCUAAGUCUAUUGGAACAUGGCGUCAUAGAGGGUGAGAAUCCCGUAUGUGACCGUGGCUCGAACCCAUGUGAAGCCUCUUCGACGAGUCGAGUUGUUUGGGAAUGCAGCUCAUAAUGGGUGGUAAAUUUCAUCUAAAGCUAAAUACUGGCUGGAGACCGAUUGCGCACAAGUUGAGUGAUCGAAAGAUGAAAAGCACUUUGGAAAGAGAGUUAAACAGUACGUGAAAUUGUUGAAAGGGAAGCGCUUGCAACCAGACCUGCCCGUAGAC
rnacentral:rRNA from 1 species